CCGGCCACUUGUACAUACAGUAAAAGAUAUAUAUUGGACGUAACGAUAUCAUAAUCUUUAAAUUCCACCAAAACUAAAUUAAGAACUAUUUCAUAAUCAUGUUUUGAAGUCUGUAAUGAACAUAAAAGGAAGGAAUGAAUCUGUUGAUAAAUUAAACCAGGAACUCGAAUGUCGUCACCGAAAACUUCAAACGGAACUCUGAAACUCAAAUUCUGACUCUUUCUCUUCUUUAUUUUCUCUUUGUUUUUCCUUCUCCCUUUCUUUUUACUCUCUGUUUUUUCUCUCAGUUUAUGUUUUUUUUCUCUGGAUUUUCUGCUCUCUUGUUAUUUUUUCUGUGUCUG
rnacentral:lncRNA from 1 species